GAUGAACGCUGGCGGCGUGCCUAAUACAUGCAAGUCGAGCGAACAGACGAGGAGCUUGCUCCUCUGACGUUAGCGGCGGACGGGUGAGUAACACGUGGAUAACCUACCUAUAAGACUGGGAUAACUUCGGGAAACCGGAGCUAAUACCGGAUAAUAUAUUGAACCGCAUGGUUCAAUAGUGAAAGACGGUUUUGCUGUCACUUAUAGAUGGAUCCGCGCCGCAUUAGCUAGUUGGUAAGGUAACGGCUUACCAAGGCAAAGAUGCGUAACCGACCUGAGAGGGUGGUCGGCCGCACUGGAACUGGGACACGGUCCAGACUCCUACGGGAGGCAGCAGUAGGGAAUCUUCCGCAAUAGGCGAAAGCUUGACGGAGCAACGCCGCGUGAGUGAUGAAGGUCUUCGGAUCGUAAAACUCUGUUAUUAGGGAAGAACAAAUGUGUAAGUAACUAUGCACGUCUUGACGGUACCUAAUCAGAAAGCCACGGCUAACUACGUG
rnacentral:rRNA from 1 species